rnacentral:siRNA from 1 species
AACGAACGAGACCUCAGCCUGCUAA